AGCCAUGCAUGUCUAAGUACAAACCACUCGAACAGGUGAAACCGCGAAUGGCUCAUUAAAUCAGCGAUGGUUCGAUGGAGAUCGAGGAAUGAAAGGGCGCCCGCCACGGGCGUCGCAAUCCAAUUGUAAUUGGAUAACCGUGGCAAUUCUAGAGCUAAUACAUGCAACUCAUGCUCGACACACCCCAGCUUCGUGCACGGGGUAGAGCGCUUUUAUUAGACCGCCGUCGGCACCUCGGUGCCGCUCUUGGUGGUGAAUCUGGAUAAACGAUCCGAAAUGGUGAGGCCGAUCGCGUCGGCCGCGGCGUACACGUCGCGGUCGACCGACGGGGCCUUCAAGUGUCUGCCUUAUCAACUUUAGACGGCCGGGCAUUGGCCUACCGUGGUUGUCACGGGUGACGGGGAAUCAGGGUUCGAUUCCGGAGAGGGAGCCUGAGAAACGGCUACCACAUCCAAGGAAGGCAGCAGGCUCGCAAAUUACCCAAUUGUGGCACGCAGAGGUAGUGACGAAAAAUGACGAUCCGGGACUCGGUCGAGCUUCCCGGGAUCGGAUUGAGCGCAGCUCAAAACAAUGUGGCGAGUUUCCACCGGAGAGCAAGUCUGGUGCCAGCUGUCGCGGUAAUUCCAGCUCCGGUAGCAUAUGCUAAAGUUGCUGCGGUUAAAAAGCUCGUGGUUGGAUCUCAGGCUGUGGCCGUCGCGACCCGCUCAGGGGCGGGCCGUCGGCGUGCCGGUCAGAAGGGCCGGCGGCUCGCGGACGAUCUUCAUCGGUCGUCCGUCGGUGCCGUCGGCAGGUUUACCUUGAACAAAGGGGAGUGCUCAAGGCAGGGCGUUAUCGGCCCGAACGUUCCGUGCAUGGAAUAAUGGAAGAAGGUCUCGGCGGGGUAACGAUUCUCUCACUUCGUGUUUGUGAUUGUCGGGCACGGGUCUACUGGCCUCUCGUCUUGCCCCGAACAGACGAGACAAUGAUUAAGGGGAACGGCCCGGGGACGAUCGUACCGCACGGCUAGAGGUGAAAUUCUUGGACCCGUGCGAGACGUCCUGCAGCGAAAGCGUUCGUCAAGAGCGUUUCCGUUAAUCUAGAACGAAAGUCAGAGGUUCGAAGGCGAUCAGAUACCGCCCUAGUUCUGACCGUAAACGAUGCCAACCAGCGAUCUCGAUGCGAGCUUAUUGAUAACGCCGCUCGAGGAAGCUUGCCCGGGAAACCAGAGUGUCUGGGUUCCGGGGGAAGUAUGGUUGCAAAACUGAAACUUAAAGGAAUUGACGGAAGGGCACCACCAGGAGUGGAGCCUGCGGCUUAAUUUGACUCAACACGGGAAAGCUUACCCGGCCCGGACACUGGAAGGAUUGACAGAAUGACGGCUCUUUCUUGAUUCUGUGGGUGGUGGUGCAUGGCCGUUCUUAGUUCGUGGAGUGAUUUGUCUGGUUGAUUCCGAUAACGAACGAGACUCUAGCCUGCUAACUAGCCGUCGUCGAGGGGAGGGGUACGAGUUACUCCUCCCGACGACGCGAUUUCUUCUUAGAGGGACUGGCCAAGCUUGAAUGAGAAUUGGCACGAGGUGAGAGCGAUAACAGGUCUGUGAUGCCCUCAGAUGUCCGGGGCCGCACGCGCGCUACACUGACGCUCGCAGUGUGCGCCUAAACCUACCUGCCCAGAUGUGGGCGGGCAACCCCAUCAACGAGAUGGCUCGUCGUGAUGGGGACAGGGACUUGGAAUUUUCUCCCUCGAACGAGGAAUUCCUGGUAGGGGCGAGUCAUCAGCUCGCCUCGAAUACGUCCCUGCCCUUUGUACACACCGCCCGUCGCUACUACCGAUAGAACGGUUCGGUGAGGUCCUCGGACUGGUGGGGGAAGCGCCUCGUGCGCGGCCCUCUUGCCGGAAAGUCGAUCGAACCGUCUCGUUUAGAGGAAGUAAAAGUCGUAACAAGGUUUCC
rnacentral:rRNA from 1 species